rnacentral:lncRNA from 1 species
CGAGGGCGGGGGCAGGAGCUGGGGUUGGUUAAGGAGGCGGCCAGAGCUUCGGCGAUUGCCAGAACACGCUGAGGGCUCUGGGUGGCGGGAACCGCAGUCAUGGACCAUAUCACUGUGCCCAAGGUCACCUAACAAGAAGGUAAGGAUGGGGAAACGGACUUUGGCCCAGUGGUUAGGGCGUCCGUCUACCACAUGGGAGGUCCGCGGUUCAAGCCCCGGGCCUCCUUGACCCGUGUGGAGCUGGCCCAUGCGCAGUGCUGAUGCGCGCAAGGAGUGCCGCACCACGCAGGGUGUCCCCCGCGUAGGGGAGCCCCACGCGCAAGGAGUGCACCCAUAAGGAGAGCCGCCCAGCGCGAAGGAGGGAGCAGCCUGCCGAGGAAUGGAGCCACUCACACUUCCCGUGCCGCUGACGACAACAGAAGCGGACAAAGAAACAAGACUCAGCAAAGAGACACAGAAAACAGACAACCAGGGGAGGGGAG